AUUGAACGCUGGCGGCAUGCCUUACACAUGCAAGUCGAACGGUAACAGGUCUUCGGAUGCUGACGAGUGGCGAACGGGUGAGUAAUACAUCGGAACGUGCCUAGUAGUGGGGGAUAACUACUCGAAAGAGUGGCUAAUACCGCAUAAUGCCUACGGGCCAAAGAGGGGGAUCUUCGGACCUCUCGCGUCAAGAUAUGCCUAGGUGGGAUUAGCUAGUUGGUGAGGUAAUGGCUCACCAAGGCGACGAUCCCUAGCUGGUCUGAGAGGAUGAUCAGCCACACUGGAACUGAGACACGGUCCAG
rnacentral:rRNA from 1 species